rnacentral:rRNA from 1 species
UACGGGGGGGGCAAGCGUUGUUCGGAAUUACUGGGCGUAAAGGGCUCGUAGGCGGCCAACUAAGUCAUACGUGAAAUCCCUCGGCUUAACCGGGGAACUGCGUCUGAUACUGGAUGGCUUGAGUUCGGGAGAGGGAUGCGGAAUUCCAGGUGUAGCGGUGAAAUGCGUAGAUAUUGGAAAGAACACCGAUGGCGAAGGCACUUUACGUGGGCUAUUACUACACUCAGAGACGAAAGCUAGGGUAGCAAAUGGG